rnacentral:rRNA from 1 species
UACGUAGGUGGCAAGCGUUGUCCGGAUUUACUGGGCGUAAAGGGCGUGCAGGCGGUCUGUUAAGUGCAGGGUGAAAGCUCCCGGCUCAACUGGGAGAGGUCCUUGCAUACUGGCGGACUUGAGGGGGGGUAGAGGAAAGUGGAAUUCCCGGUGUAGUGGUGAUAUGCGUAGAUAUCGGGGAGGAACACCUGUGGCGAAGGCGGCUUUCUGGGCCCUACCUGACGCUGAGACGCGAAAAGCGUGGGGGAGCGAACCGG